rnacentral:miRNA from 1 species
AGAAGUAAUUGCGGUUUUGCCA